AAGAAAGUCACAAUCCAUAUGCAUAACUCUGCAAGGCACAUCACCGUUAUUUCCAUUUUAUAUAUGAAAAAACUACAGUUGGGAGAGAGAGAGAAUGAUUUGUCCAGAGCUAUCUCGCAUUUCCAUAACUAAACUUGGAUUUGAUGCUGAGAUUAUAGCAUCCUUGGUCCUGUUAUAGGUUUGGGGGGAGGAUCCAGUCUAAAUCCUAUAAAUUAAUAAAUGGUAGGAUUUUGAUUAACUGGGAUGAAGGGAGAGAUACAAACUGCAGGUGAAUUUCUAGGCUAGCCUAUGCAAAAGGAGGUGGCUGAGCUAGCAUCAUGAAGAAACAAUGCAGGGCGAUUGGCAAGGCAAGAGACUUGUCCUUCCCCCUUGCCCUGAGGUGUGAGCAAAGGCUGGGGAUUUGGAAGGUUGCCAGGGUAACUGGGUGUGAUGUCACAGGAAGAGUUGGGGGCCUUUGGCAGGAGGCUUUGAAUAGCUAAGAAAAGGGCAGAAAGAUCUUGGCUGGCCGAAGGCAGGCAGGGAGAGAUGCUUCGGACUCCAGUGCUGCACUACCACGGGGAACAAGCCCUUCUUGAGAUGGCCAUGCUGUAAGAUCUGGACUCCCUCCAUCUAAAUUCAAGUAUAAAUAUGUGAAUAAAUAAUAUUUCUUAAAGCUACAACAGUCCCUGCAGGAUCUUCAGUUCUCCAAAGGAGCACAGAUCCUGGUUGAGGGCCAAGACCCCUGGAAUCCUGUGCACGGCUCGGGAUGGCCUGUAAAGGUAAAGGGACCCCUGACCAUUAGGUCCAGUCGUGGCCGACUCUGGAGUUGCGGCGCUCAUCUCACUUUAUUGGCUGAGGGAGCCGGCGUAUAGUUUCCAGGUCAUGUGGCCAGCAUGACUAAGCCGCUUCUGGUGAACCAGAGCAGCGCAUGGAAACGCCGUUUACCUUCCCGCCGGAGCGGUACCUAUUUAUCUACUUGCACUUUGACGUGCUAGGUUGGCAGGAGCAGGGACCGAGCAACGGGAGCUCACCCCGUCGCAGGGAUUCAAACCGCUGAUGACCUGAUCGGCAAGUCCUAGGCGCCUGUAACUAUCUGCAAAUAAGGGGAGGUCAUCAUAUACUCGGAGGCCCCUACCAACUAUGUCUCCCGAAUCUAUGCACACUUACCAGGAAGCAAGUUUAAAUUAAUUUUGUAGAGCAUACUCUCAAAUAAGAGUGUGUAAGAUUAGACCCAUCACCUGCUCCUGAACCAGCAACGGUUAUAGAUUGUUGUAAUUGCCCCGGAGGCCAUGAACUGUAGUCGGCUCAUUGACUCAUGUAAUCAAAGAUUAUACAUUUUAAUUUCCAAGUGUAUCUUUCAAAGCUGCUACGUUAAGGCCAAGGAUCAAGAGUCAUCUUACCUUAAGUCACUAGAAGAUAAUAUUGGUCUGUGUAAAGCUAUGACUCACUUGCUUUCCAUAAUUGUUUUAUGAAGAGGUUUGUGUAAUAAAACUUGGCCCAGUUAAAGUUAUCAGCACCAUGCUCUAACCAACUAUAUCAUCAUAUCUGUUUUCUUAUUUUCUCUCUGUGAUCAGCACAGUAACAAAUAUCCACCAAUAACUCUUGGUCCCCCCCCCCAAUGUAGUAUCCUUGUAUUAAAAGGAAUGGGUAGGGGACCAUGGCUUGAUGCUUACAUUUUUGCAUUGGGUGGAAAGAAUAAUAGAAACAGAAUUGUAGGGAUGGAAGGGUCAUCUAGUCCAACCCCCUACUAUAGCUAAAGAAUCCCUGACAGGUGGCCAUCCAACCUAUGUUGAAAAACCUCUAUUGCCAAAAAACCCAACACCUCUGAAUCCAUAAAGGAAGGGACAAACAGAUCUUAAUCUGUGGCAGGGCUUGGCAAUGAAACCUAGUUUCAUUAACAGGGCUCUUAUUUCACAACAGCUGAGACUUUCUCCCUAUACAGUGGUACCUUGGUUCUUAAAUGCCUUGGUACUCAAACAACUUGGAACCCAAACACUGCAAACCUGGAAGUAAGUGUUCCAGUUUGCAAACUUUUUUUGGAAGCCAAACGUGCUGCAUUUUGAGUGUUACGCUUCCAAUCUGAGUGCCACACUUCUGUUUUGAGUGUUACGCUGAGGUCUGUCUGUUUUUGUUAUUUUUUGUUUUGUUUUUUUUGCAGCUCCCUUUUUGUUUUUGUGACUGUGUGGAACCCAGUUCAGCUACUGAUUCAUUGAUUGUGUGACUGCAGUACAUUGUUUAUUGCUUUCAUUUUAUGGAUCAAUGGUCUCGUUACAUAGUAAAAUUCAUGUUAAAUUGCUGUUUUAGGGGUUGUUUUUAGAAGUCUGGAACGGAUUAAUCUAUUUUGCAUUAUAAUAAUAAUAAACUCUGGGUGGCUCCCAAUCGAGUGUUAAAAACAAUACAGCAUUAAAUAUUAAAACUUCCCUAAACAGGGCUGCCUUCAGAUGUCUUUUAAAGAUAAGAUAGCUGCUUAUUUCCUUCACAUCUGAUGGGAGGGUGUUCCACAGGGCGGGCACCACUACUGAAAAGGCCCUCUGUCAUUACUUUAUAUAGGGAAGUGCACCUUGGUUUUGGAACACUUUGGUUUUGGAACGGACUUCCAGAACGUAUUAAGUUUGAGAACCAAGGUGCCACUGUAACUCUAGUCUGCUUGGAGAGGAGAGUACUUCUGAACAUCUGCAGAGGCUUCCCCCUGCCUCCCCCAGUGAAUAUCUACUGUAUUAUCAGUACCAGCACAGCUUCUGGACCUGCUUGAGUUCAGUGACUUAGCUAGUCUCUCUCUCUGCAAAUUAAUAACUGGGAACAGCAUUUAUUGGGAGAUGCUUUUGGCAGACGAUGCAUACAUUUAAAUACUUAUUUUUUACUGUUCUUUACUGACAAUGUUAUUGUUUUUUUUCUUUCUGCAAACCUCUUUUAGGUUUUAUCACAAUCAAGCAGCAUAUAAAUGUUGUAAAAGAAAUAAAAUAUCAUUUCACCGGUGAGACCAGGGGGAUUUUGGAAAUAUUUCUACUACUCCUGUUAUCAUAUACCAGGAUCACUGCUGAAGUGUGUUCCCCUGUGCUUCUCCUCCCAUUGAACAUGGCAUAUCCUUCAGAUGCCCCUGCUUACCAGGGACACACCCUCAUUUCCAGUACCAGUCUAUGUUUUUGCUUUUGGAAGAAGUCUUACUAAAAUAUUAGUGUGAAUUGCCAGGCUUGUCAUUCUUUUGGGAAUUAUAGGGACAGAACCACCCAAACACUACAGAAAUUUAUUCUACAUUCUACAGCAGCAAGAAUGUUACUUACCCAAAAAUGGAAAUAAGUCCAAGUAAAAGAAGAAUGGAUACAAAAACUUAUGGAAUAUGCAGGAAUGGCAGAACUUACCAG
rnacentral:lncRNA from 1 species